AAAAAAAACCCCUAAAAGUUCAUUUUUUUAACAGCUUCUAAAAAAAACUGAGAAUACUCCUAGGCUCCCCAGCCCUCUGAGCUCCGGCCUAGGUCUGGCAAAAGGAGCUAGCACACCUCCGCCGUAUCCCCGCCGCAAGCGGCGGCCGGAGGUGCAAAAUAGACCUCUUUUUAGCCCCGUUUGAAGCCAAACUCCCCUAGAACUCGUAUUCAAAGCCAAAUCCUUUGAAAGUUGAGCCAAAACCGAAAAGAAAAGGAGGUAUCCGCUCACCUUCCCCUCUCUCCGGCGCGGCGUAGGUGGUGGUUGGAGGCAGCGGCGGUGCAGGUGGCGGCAGGUGGACAGAAGGGUCAGAAGACCCUAGGUGCGGCGCACCUAGGGGUAGGGUUUUCUGAUUUUUUGUUUUGUUUGUUUUGGGCUGCUGGAAAUGGGUUUGGGUAAUUGGGCUUGUAUUUGGGCUGUUUGGGGUUUAGUUAUUUUUGGGUCUGAAUGGUUUGUUUAUUUUGUAAAUGGGCCCGGGCGAAAUUGGGCUUCUACAUAUGAUAAAGAUUAAUGACGAAAUCUAUGUAUAAUUCUUAUAAAUUAAUUACAACUAAUUUAUAGAUUUGGAGGAUUUA